rnacentral:lncRNA from 1 species
GACUGCAACCUCCGCCCUACUGGGUUCAAGUGAUUCUCCUGCCUCAGCCUCCUGAGUAGCUGGGACUACAGGUAUCCACCAACACGCCCGGCUAAUUUUUGUAUUUUUAGUAGAGAUGGGAUUUCGCCAUGUUGGCCAGGCUGCUCCCGAACUCCUGACCUCAGGUGAUCCGUCCACCUCAGCUUCCCAAAGUGCUGGGAUUACAGGCGUGAGCGACUGCACCAAGACUGAAUUUGGAAAUGAU